UUGAACGCUGGCGGCAUGCUUUACACAUGCAAGUCGAACGGCAGCACGGGGGCAACCCUGGUGGCGAGUGGCGAACGGGUGAGUAAUAUAUCGGAACAUGUCCGGAAGUGGGGGAUAACGUAGCGAAAGUUACGCUAAUACCGCAUAUGCCCUGAGGGGGAAAGGAGGGGAUCGCAAGACCUUUCGCUUUCGGAGUGGCCGAUAUCAGAUUAGCUAGUUGGUGAGGUAAAGGCUCACCAAGGCGACGAUCUGUAGCUGGUCUGAGAGGACGACCAGCCACACUGGAACUGAGACACGGUCCAGACUCCUACGGGAGGCAGCAGUGGGGAAUUUUGGACAAUGGGCGCAAGCCUGAUCCAGCCAUGCCGCGUGAGUGAAGAAGGCCUUCGGGUUGUAAAGCUCUUUCGGACAGAAAGAAAUCGUACGGGCUAAUACCCCGUAUGGAUGACGGUACCGUAAGAAGAAGCACCGGCUAACUACGU
rnacentral:rRNA from 1 species